rnacentral:rRNA from 1 species
UAACGCGUUAAGUCGACCGCCUGGGGAGUACGGCCGCAAGGUUAAAACUCAAAUGAAUUGACGGGGGCCCGCACAAGCGGUGGAGCAUGUGGUUUAAUUCGAUGCAACGCGAAGAACCUUACCUACUCUUGACAUCCAGAGAACUUUCCAGAGAUGGUUUGGUGCCUUCGGGAACUCUGAGACAGGUGCUGCAUGGCUGUCGUCAGCUCGUGUUGUGAAAUGUUGGGUUAAGUCCCGCAACGAGCGCAACCCUUAUCCUUUGUUGCCAGCGGUUAGGCCGGGAACUCAAAGGAGACUGCCAGUGAUAAACUGGAGGAAGGUGGGGAUGACGUCAAGUCAUCAUGGCCCUUACGAGUAGGGCUACACACGUGCUACAAUGGCGCAUACAAAGAGAAGCGACCUCGCGAGAGCAAGCGGACCUCAUAAAGUGCGUCGUAGUCCGGAUUGGAGUCUGCAACUCGACUCCAUGAAGUCGGAAUCGCUAGUAAUCGUAGAUCAGAAUGCUACGGUGAAUACGUUCCCGGGCCUUGUACACACCGCCCGUCACACCAUGGGAGUGGGUUGCAAAAGAAGUAGGUAGCUUAACCUUCGGGAGGGCGCUUACCACUUUGUGAUUCAUGACUGGGGUGAAGUCGUA